ACAGGGCUCUCCGACCAUUUGAGACGUUUAAAUCACAUCGUCUGAAAACAGACUAUCUCCAACUAACUUGCCAACAUGUAUCAUAAAACAACAACAGUGGCUCUAGCUGUUCUACUCAUUGCCUUAGUUUCAUUCUCAGAUGCUACAAAUUACUGGAGAAUCGCAAAAGGCAGAAACGCUCGAUACACAGCCAGAUCACCAAGGCUGUACGACUCACUGAAGAACACACAGGUUAAAAGAUAUGGUGGUAUUGACGAUGUGGAAGCGGCGGAGAAUACCAUUGAUAAUUGGCUAAGAGAUUGGAUCAUCUCAAACAGGAAUUUCAUCAGAGGCACUAUUUUUGACGACACCUUCACAAAUGAAGUAUGAAGCCUUUCAAUCUCCCGCAUUUUCUUUUUCUUGAGUUCUGAGACCAACCAGUCUAUGCCUGUUUUCCCAAAUGCCACCGUGGUUCACGACGCUCCCUUUUUUUUCUCAAAGAUGAAGGGCGACCCCAUCACACCAUAUAUACAUGUAGUUCAUCACUUCUUCCAACGCCAGGAAACAUUACAUUACUAUUACAUUACAUUUGCAUCACACAUAUUUUAUAUUCAUGAUUAGUAGUUGCAUUUUACAGAAUAAAUGAUCUUUUUAAAAACAUGUGCUCACUCAAAUACUGUAAUUUGAAACAUGCAUGAUUUAGCGCAAAGUAAUAAUCUUUUUAUCAACUAUAAUUUUAUCUAAAAGAUGUAUACUGACACUCCCGUUUCGUUAAAUAUUUUUUUUUUGUCAUUACAAUGUAAUUUUACUUAAACAUAAUUUAGAUACUGAAGACCAACGCCUUUGUCUACAAUGUUUUUUUUAUAUCAGUGAUCGUUUAUUUACCAGUUGGUUUUGAUAAUUUUUAUUUUCCGUAUGAUUUAUAUAUUUAAAAGAAACUUGACCGUUUAAAUUAAAGUCGAUCAUUGUAUCUUUCAACUCAUAUGUUCAAAUACGUUCAAAUGUUUACUCUAAGACUAAAGCUAUUACAAACCACCAGUCUGUGAUGGGCUUAGUGAAGCUUUCCAUAGACCAAGCUCGUGAAUUUGAAAUUAUGUGUUGUGAUUAGUCAAUACCCUAAAAACGACGAAAGAUAAUAUGUUCAGCUACGACAUUGGGUAAUAUUCUAAGGUAUGAAGGUGGAACCUAUUAAGACAUUAAUCCACUGAUGCAUUUGAUUGUACUCAUAAUUAUGAGAGUCAAAAGGGGCCUAAGCUUUCGAUCCUAGCAGAAUCUUCUUCGGAGGCAAAAUGACCAUACUCAUAAUUAUGUGACAGUGUCAUAGUAUGCAUGUUAUCGCAUCCCUAUAAGAGUAUCCCUGUAGCGUGAAAUGUUGAUUGGAUAAGAAAGAUUGCACAUUUAUGAUUAGGAGUGUGGCUGUUCUGUUCCUACCAUUACCCCUGAUUACAUUUUAUAUAUUACAAUUAAAACACAACUUCAUCUGAAUGAAUUUUGGAAAUUACAAUCGAUGCGUUAAACAUCGAAACUUAUAGGCAAAACUUAUUUGGAGAAUGCGUAGUUUGAAAUAUUCAUAGGACAAUAAAGAAAUUGUAGAAAAGGGUAAUUUCAUUCUCAGAUCGAGAUGGGGAUAGGUAUCAGCCCAGUGUUUAUUUUUAUUUUGUUUACAUAUAAUAUUUUAGAAACUCUCGCUCUCAACCUGUAAUCAUACAGUCACUAAAAAUAAAAUCCAGUGUCUUAAAUCAUUCUGAAUCAUAAUCAGUCCUAUCAGCCGGUGGGAUAUUGAGAUUUCAUAUAAAUUAUUUCAAAUUCUAUAUGGAUUUUAACGCCCUAUAUUGUCACUCGGCCUUAAACCCACCUGAUCUGACCCCAUUCUCCAUUGCCCCCCUCCCCCUGCCACGCCCCCGUUCUCCUCCCCUCUCCCUCACACACUUCCUAUCCAUUUAUUCUCUGGUUCACUGUGAGUCAACCACUUCAAACUUCUUGAUCUUUGAUAAUUGAUUUCCUCUGCCAAGUACAUUGCCAUUACCCUAAGGCGAAUCUUUGAAAAGGAGAACCUAAUUGUCUUGAUGGUCAUUCUAGAGGCAAAACACAAAUUAUGCGGUUGUAUUCACACGCAUGUUAAAGGUUUGCACCCAUCUUUGACUGGGUUAUAUGCCUUCUAACUGGUUACCCCUCCCCCAUCCCAAUCCACUCUCUGCAUCAAAUUCAUGAUGAAAAAAAAAAAAUCCUGACUCUCUUGGAGUUUAAUUUUAACAUUCUCUAACGAUCUAUUCUACUGUAGCAAAACUAAAAAAGUGGUUACAUUUUUAUAUGGGAACAAAACCAAUUUGAUCACUUGAAAUUGUGUUUGUAUCCAGGAUACACAAAAUGUGUUUGAUAAGACAUAUGUUAAAAGUGCAAUGAUUUCUUUCAAGUAAUUUUUUGGACAUAUUCAUAUCAGACGAGUCCCUGCAUUGUAAUAUAGAUGAUCAUAAGAAAGAAGAAUUCGAACCAUUUUUUAAUUAUUACAAAGGAUAAAUAUGAUAUAGAAGUGACUCUA